rnacentral:lncRNA from 1 species
UUUUGUUUCUCUCUACCUGACUUCCCCAGAAUUUGGAAACUAGUUGGUUCACAGCGAAAUAAAGACUUUCCAAGACAAAAGCUGAGAGAUAUUAUCCAUGCUAGACCUGGCCUACAAGAAAUGCUAAAGGGAGUUCUUCAACCUGAAAGAAAAGGUGUCAACUAGGAAUAAGAAACCAUCCAAAGUUAUAAAACUCACUGGUAAUAGUAUAUGCACAGAGAAUAUUAUAACACUGUCAUUGUAAUGUGUAAACGGCUCGUAUCUUGAAUAGAAAGGCUAAAAGGAAAAACUACUAAAAGUGAUAACUACAACAACUUUACAUGACAAAAAUAGAAAACUAUUAUGUAAAUAGAAACAGUUAAAAAGAAGUUAAAGUGUAGAGUUAUUAGUUUUCUCUUUGCUUGUUUCAUAGUGUGGUUGUUUUUGAAAUCAAUGUUAAGUCAUCAUCAGUUUAAAAUAAUGGGUUAUAAGAUGUUAUUUGCAAGUCUCAUGAUAACCUCAAAAAGCCUACAAUGGACACAGAAAAAAAAAGCAAGAAAGUAAAACACUGCCAGAGAAAAUCAUCUUCACAAAAAGGAAGACAGGAAGGAAGGAAGGCAGAGAAGACCACAAAACAACUAGAAAACAAAUAACAAAAUGGCAGGAGUAAGUUCUUACUUAUCUAUAAUAACAUUGAAUAUAAAUGGACUAAAUUCUCCAAUCAAAAGACAAAAUGGCUGAAUGGAUGAAAAACAAAAACCAAGACCUAACAACAUGUUGGCUACAAGAAACACAUUUCACUCUUCAUACUAUCAAAAGUCCUAUCAUUUUCAAUGCUUUGUCCUAUUUAAGUAUACUUUUUAGCUAGCUAAGGUUGUAACUAUUAUUAGAGGCAAAAAGAAAAUUAAAAUAGUGAGUAUAUUAUGCCUCAGAAAUGUCUAAUAGAAAAGCUUUAGCAGCUGAACAAAGUCUCUCUGAAAGUUUUUUUUAUUGACCUGUGUUAGAAUAAUAGCAUCAAUAUUCAUUUUUCUGGGUGUAGUAUAGAGUGAUAGUUAAGAGCAGGGUUUUUGGAAUCAGACAACACUUUAUUAUAAUAUUGAAAAAAUUAUUUAAACUGUCUAAUAAACUUUCAGAAUCUCAAAUUCCUUCUUUGAAAAAUGCACAAUUAUAGAUUUUUAAUGAGGAUUAAAUGAGGCAACAUAUGUAAAGCACAUAACAGUAUUCCACACAUAAUAAAUAAUAAAUGAGAGUAAGUUUUUUUUUAAUAAAUUCUAUGGCCUAAUACACUGAGAAUUUUUUUCGUGGAUUUGGAUCUAUGAAUUUUUAAAAAUGUGCCUUCCUUUCAUCACUUUGGUUGGCCAACGCUAUGUGGACUCCUUGCUCUUACUUGCCCACUGGAACUAAUAAAGAAAAUGGUGUUACUUUGAAUAGACAGG